CCUUAACCUGGGAGAUCUGCCAGCUGCACUGGUGCAGCCAGUGCACAGCCAGGCAAAGCGGAGAGGGGUAGGAGAGGCUGCUUGUCCUCAUCCAGCUGCUGCCACAAGGAGAGAGCAUGAUGGAAGAAAAAAACAAAGACCCAUUUGGAUAGUCUGACAAAAUCUCAGCAGCAAAACCCCGCUCACUUCUUGCAAGAUGAAAGACUGCAACCUCCAGCUGAGGGAACAGAAAUGGAUGACCACCUCAAACUGAUGUUUAAAGGCAAGAAGAAAGACAGGAGGUCUUCAGUAGCAUCACACUACCUGAAAUUAAGG